UGUGAGUUUGGUUUAGUGAUAAAACAUUUACUUUGCAAGUAGAAAAGCUUAGGUUUAAUUCCUAGAACCCA
rnacentral:tRNA from 1 species